CCUACGGGGGGCUGCAGUGGGGAAUAUUGCACAAUGGGCGCAAGCCUGAUGCAGCCAUGCCGCGUGUGUGAAGAAGGCCUUCGGGUUGUAAAGCACUUUCAGCGGGGAGGAAGGCGGUGAGGUUAAUAACCUCAUCGAUUGACGUUACCCGCAGAAGAAGCACCGGCUAACUCCGUGCCAGCAGCCGCGGUAAUACGGAGGGUGCAAGCGUUAAUCGGAAUUACUGGGCGUAAAGCGCACGCAGGCGGUCUGUCAAGUCGGAUGUGAAAUCCCCGGGCUCAACCUGGGAACUGCAUUCGAAACUGGCAGGCUAGAGUCUUGUAGAGGGGGGUAGAAUUCCAGGUGUAGCGGUGAAAUGCGUAGAGAUCUGGAGGAAUACCGGUGGUGAAGGCGGCCCCCUGGACAAAGACUGACGCUCAGGUGCGAAAGCGUGGGGAGCAAACAGGAUUAGAUACCCGUGUAGUC
rnacentral:rRNA from 1 species